rnacentral:rRNA from 1 species
CUCCGGUGAUUUCUGCCGGACCCGACUGCUAUCAGAGUGGGACUAAGCCAUGCGAGUCAACGUAGCAAUACGUGGCAUACGGCUCAGUAACACGUAGUCAACAUGCCCAGGGGACGAGGAUAACCUCGGGAAACUGAGGAUAAACCUCGAUAGGCCAUGAUUUCUGGAAUGAUUCUUGGCUCAAACCUAUAUGGCCCCUGGAUUGGACUGCGGCCGAUCAGGCUGUUGGUGAGGUAAUGGCCCACCAAACCUAUUACCGGUACGGGCUCUGAGAGGAGGAGCCCGGAGAUGGGCACUGAGACAAGGGCCCAGGCCCUAUGGGGCGCAGCAGGCGCGAAACCUCUGCAAUAGGCGAAAGCUUGACAGGGUUACUCUGAGUGAUUUCCGUUAAGGAGAUCUUUUGGCACCUCUAAAAAUGGUGCAGAAUAAGGGGUGGGCAAGUCUGGUGUCAGCCGCCGCGGUAAUACCAGCACCCCGAGUGGUCGGGACGUUUAUUGGGCCUAAAGCAUCCGUAGCCGGUUCUACAAGUCUUCCGUUAAAUCCACCUGCUUAACAGAUGGGCUGCGGAAGAUACUAUAGAGCUAGGAGGCGGGAGAGGCAAGCGGUACUCGAUGGGUAGGGGUAAAAUCCGUUGAUCCAUUGAAGACCACCAGUGGCGAAGGCGGCUUGCCAGAACGCGCUUGACGGUGGGGGAUGAAAGCUGGGGGAGCAAACCGGAUUAGAUACCCGGGUAGUCCCAGCUGUAAACGAUGCAGACUCGGUGAUGAGUUGGCUUAUUGCUAACUCAGUGCCGCAGGGAAGCCGUUAAGUUUGCCGCCUGGGGAGUACGGUCGCAAGACUGAAACUUAAAGGAAUUGGCGGGGGAGCA